rnacentral:rRNA from 1 species
UUGACCUCGGAUCAGGUAGGAGUUACCCGCUGAACUUAAGCAUAUCAAUAAGCGGAGGAAAAGAAACCAACCGGGAUUGCCUCAGUAACGGCGAGUGAAGCGGCAAGAGCUCAAAUUUGAAAUCUGGCCCCCUCGGGGUCCGAGUUGUAAUUUGCAGAGGAUGCUUCGGGUGCGGUCCCCAUCUAAGUGCCCUGGAACGGGCCGUCAUAGAGGGUGAGAAUCCCGUCUGGGAUGGGCGGCCGCGCCCGUGUGAAGCUCCUUCGACGAGUCGAGUUGUUUGGGAAUGCAGCUCUAAGCGGGUGGUAAAUUUCAUCUAAAGCUAAAUACUGGCCGGAGACCGAUAGCGCACAAGUAGAGUGAUCGAAAGAUGAAAAGCACUUUGAAAAGAGAGUUAAACAGCACGUGAAAUUGUUGAAAGGGAAGCGUUGUCCACCAGACUCGCCCGGGGGGGUUCAGCCGGCACGUGUGCCGGUGUACUCCUCUCCGGGCGGGCCAGCAUCGGUUUGGGCGGCUGGUGAAAGGCCCCGGGAAUGUACCACCCUCCGGGGUGUCUUAUAGCCCGGGGUGCCAUACAGCCAGCCUGGACCGAGG